UGGGACUCUCCCUAUAAAAUUGGGACAUCUGGUCAUCCUGCCAGCAAGAGGGCCAUAUCUCAGCCUUUACUAAUCUGCUGGUCAUUGAAGCUCACAGCAACUUCUGAGCUGCUAAAUGCUAGGGAUGCAGGUGGCAGUUUGCAGGUGGCAGUCACAAAUAAAGCGUCUCACCUACAGAAAAUGUUUUUUCACCCACAUUUUGGCUGCAGACCUAUUACGAAUGCUGUUUGGAGGGUGUCUCAGUGUUUGUAUUGUUCUGCAACCAGCAAAGCAGGCUGAGACAGGAAAAGAGAGCUGGGCUGGACAAGGGGAAGGGGCAGGUCUCCCGCCAUCCUGGACCUGAUCUAAAGCCAACUGAAAUCAGUGAAACACUGUCACUGAUUUCCAAGGGGGUUGCAUCAGGCUCUUUGAGCUCUGUAAGGCCAAGGAAAGUCAGCAGGGAAAGACUGGGGAUAUGUGGCAACCAAGCGAACCCUUCUGAGCACUGUGUGUUCUCAUUUAGAUAAGAGCCUGCAGACUAGCCACUGAAGCAACGGGGGUUGAGUGGGCCAGGUUUUUCUAUGUCUCAGUGGCCUAGACAGGCUGAGGGAGGAAGGAGGAUGUGGCCUGGCCUCUAUACUCCACAGCUGGGCCUGAUUAGCAACCUGUAGAGAAACUUCCUGCUGCUCAGAUCUGGGGAGGGAGAAUUACUUGGGCUAUGUCUGUAUGGGGUGGGGAGGGGAACUGUUUUGCUGCAGCACAGGAGCUGAACCUUUCAUCACUUGACAUGCUUUGACCCAAUCCAUAAUGCCUAAUGGAAAUUCACCCAAUAGAAGAAAAAUCAGCAAAGUCAUACCAAUGUACCCUGACAUGAAUUAAAUGCAACAACAGCUCCUGCCAGAUCAAAGUUGAUCCACUGCUGGCUUCCCUUCUGCUGAAAACAACAAACCAACUCCUCACAAGUCGUGCUCACGCUGCUGUUUUGUAUGUCGGAAGGAAGUCUGCAGGUGCAGUUAGAAUUUUCUCCUAAUUCCCUAAUCCUUGCUGAGUGCCUUGUUUGGAGCACCUCCCAGGAUCAGGCUCUAAGAGCUCAGAACAAUCUACUAGUAUCAACAGGCUGAAUGCAACAAAACCAGUCCCACCAGAAUUCGUGUGCAAAGCUGAAUUUAUGCUUUGCCCUCCAGCUCAUUAACUUUUCCUGAACUUAAAUUACUUGAGACCAUUCCCUGAGUUACUAGUACAUUUAUAGACCUAUCCACCAUGAGCUGUAAAUACCAUAUUACAGCUCAGUUUGAUUCUAAACUGUGGCAUAACUCCCCUAUGCUUCUACCUCUGCUUUGAAAACAACUGAAGCUUGUCUGUUAUCCAAGUGUAUGUAUUUAACUGGUUUGUAGUAAGUCUGUAACAAUAAAUGGCUUACACAACAGUAUAUAAAUUGAUUCCAAUCAUGUUUUAAUGUAAGUACUUUGUAUAUAUUUGUACAUUUUUAAGAACUAUCAUGCCAUUUGUUUCCUAACUCCCUUAUUGUCUCUGAAUAAUGCUAGUUCAAAAAUUAAAAUUGGAUUUUCAAGCUGAUUGUAAAUAUUUAAAAUAUCUGCUGAAAAGGGGCCAAAUCCUUGUAGGAUUUAGUGUGGUUAAUUGUUAAUUAAACAAAUCAGUAUUAAUAACUCACAACUAUUUUCUGAAAACUAGAUUUCAUUUAGGAUAGCCUAAAAUAUUACAAUUGGUUUUAUUUCAUUUUCACAGAAUUUUGAAGUAUACAGUUACUAAACAUAAGUAUGUGUGCUAGGUUCUCAACUAUUCUUGUCUUCUACAGAUCAUAAAUUAGCUGUGAAGAUGUAGUUCUAUUUUCCCUCAGGAAAGGCAAUUUCAUGAAAAAAAUCUAAAGCAUGGAUGAAAAGAUUCUAUAUUUAGAAUUACACUGAGGACUUACUAUGACCUUCAGAGAAUAGAAACUAAAAGGCUCAAUUUUUACAUACAAAAGAGCUGUUCAAUAAAAACAUAAAUUAAAAAAAAGAAGUGUUUAGAACACCUGCUUUCCAUGCAUUUGCCUUUUUUAAACAAUUUUUUUUUAAAGUUAAGCUUGA